rnacentral:rRNA from 1 species
GACGAAGGUGGCGAGCGUUGUUCGGAAUCACUGGGCAUAAAGCGCACGUAGGCGGCGACGUAAGUUGGGUGUGAAAUCCCUCGGCCCAACCGAGGAACUGCGCCCAGUACUGCGUUGCUUGAGGAUCCAAGGGGUGCAUGGAAUUCCCGGUGGAGCGGUGAAAUGCGUUGAUAUCGGGAGGAACUCCGGCGGCGAAAGCGGUGCACUGGUAGAUUACUGACGCUGAGGUGCGAAAGCCAGGGGAGCAAACGGG